AGUCCAUGAUGGGGACACAACCAUAAUUAUUCUUUGAAUCUAUCUCAUGUGUCACACAAAGACUCUUCUUCCUUUAUAGCGAAAUUAGUGAUUUGAUUCCUACGGUG